CUGAUUUUAGCACUAGUCGACCGAAAAGCGUCAUUUUUCAAAGGCUGGUCAGCGACCAACUACUAUAUCACGUUUCUUGUUAUAUUUGGACAAGUGUAGGAAAGCUAAAGUUUCUCCACCUAACGUAAUUUUUCUUGUUCUUAACGCCGGUGAAUAUCGAUUAAAUGUUAAGGAUUUGGGAAUUUCCCAUUUUCUUAGGUUUAAGUUCCUUAGGAUUGAAGUUCCGGAAGUCGGGACGGCGGGACGGAAAACCUGAAGAUCCCAAGUUAAAGAGUAGGCCUGAUGUGGCCUCUAGCUUCCAAUUCAGUUUCUGGAGAGACCAGGAACAGCCUAAGUGGGGAGAAGGCUGGGUGCGGUGAGCUUCAUUCACUAGCAUUUCUCUCUCUCCUCCCCCCCCCCCCUCCUUUCUUCCUAGGUAGUGUCUGCAGGCCACUCAGAAGGCGACUAAUAUAACCAACCUGGGGUUGCUUGGUGGA
rnacentral:lncRNA from 1 species